UAAUACGAAGGAUCCAAGCGUUGUCCGGAUUUACUGGGUUUAAAGGGUGCGUAGGCGGACUUUAAGUCAGUGGUGAAAGCCUGUAGCUUAACUAUAGAAUUGCCAUUGAAACUGAAAGUCUCGAGUGUGGUUGGGGUAACUGGAAUAUAUCAUGUAGCGGUGAAAUGCUUAGAUAUGAUAUAGAACACCAAUUGCGAAGGCAGGUUACUGAGCCACAACUGACGCUGAGGCACGAAAGCGUGGGGAUCAAACAGGAUUAGAUACCCUGGUAGUCCACGCUGUAAACGUUGAAUACUCGAUCUUAGCGAUAUACAGUUAGGAUCCAAGCGAAAGCGUUAAGUAUUCCACCUGGGAAGUAUGAUCGCAAGAUUGAAACUCAAAGGGAAUUGACGGGGGCCCGCACAAGCGGAAGAGCAUGUGGUUUAAUUCGAUGAUACGCGAAGAACUUACCUGGGCUUGAAUGUGAGUGACCGAUGCCGAAAGGUGUCUUCCCUUCGGGGCACAAAACCAAGGUGCUGCAUGGCUGUC
rnacentral:rRNA from 1 species